GACGAACGCUGGCGGCGUGCUUAACACAUGCAAGUCGAACGGAAAGGCCCUGCUUUUGUGGGGUGCUCGAGUGGCGAACGGGUGAGUAACACGUGAGUAACCUGCCCUUGACUUUGGGAUAACUUCAGGAAACUGGGGCUAAUACCGGAUAGGAGCUCCUGCUGCAUGGUGGGGGUUGGAAAGUUUCGGCGGUUGGGGAUGGACUCGCGGCUUAUCAGCUUGUUGGUGGGGUAGUGGCUUACCAAGGCUUUGACGGGUACCCGGCCUGAGAGGGUGACCGGCCACAUGGGGACUGAGAUACGGCCCAGACUCCUACGGGAGGCAGCGGUGGGGAAUAUUGCACAAUGGGCGGAAGCCUGAUGCAGCAACGCCGCGUGCGGGAUGACGGCCUUCGGGUUGUAAACCGCUUUCGCCUGUGACGAAGCGUGAGUGACGGUAAUGGGUAAAGAAGCACCGGCUAACUACGUG
rnacentral:rRNA from 1 species